GUUUAUUGUUUUCAAAAGUCUAUUUUGGUUUCCUUUUAUUUUGCUGAUUUAAAGUUUGUGUCAUCAAAUUGUUCAACAGGUCAAGUUCAACGUAAUCAUCUUCAACUGAAGCUAUCAUCUCUGUUUGGGUGUUGAUUGGUAUCCAGUAGAGUUGAUUUGAUUACCUUUUUAGUGUGGCCUUUUACAUACAAAUUGUCUACUAUUAACGCUUAUAAAGGAAAGGCUUUGUGUACAACAAUUUUCACCUCAAUUUUCUUUUUUUUCUUCCGCUUCUUCAAUUUUCUCCUGAUUUAUGAAGGUCAAUUGAACAGUUAACAUUCAAGUUUUGGCUUUUUCUUUUUUUCGCUCUGUUGAUGAGACAUUUCAACGAUCUGCUGAUAACUCAAGAUCAAGGAAAAAACAUCGAAGCAUGUGUUUCACCAAUUGUUUGAUCCGUCUUGGAAUCAGCUAAAGUUACAAUGUUGAACCAAGUUGUGUCUCAUAAACUCAUUUUUCAUUGACAAGUUAUAAUUUGAAAUUCAAACCAUCAUUUAUAAUAUGUUUAGUAAUCAAGUUACCAAAUAACCUCGAAAAGGUUGUCUCGAGCUGAAAGCCCGAGGCUAACUGUUUCUAUCAAUAAUUUCAUUUUUUGCUUUCUUUUUUUCAGGUCCAGUUGAAUGUAAUGGGUUACUUGAAUAUUAAUGAAAUUGAUCUGUCCGUAUAAUGGUAACUUUUUGCUAAACCUAAUUCAAUAUCAAACGGAAAACCUAAAAACCUGAUAGUUAAAUGAUUUGGCUACACUAAUAAAUAACCGUGUUACCAAUUAAUUACAUUAGCUGCUUCGGAUGGUUAAACGUUUGUAAAAUGGUUAAGAAUUGUGUGUUAAUGAGUGUUUACUUAAACAACCGACAUCCAUAUUAUUGCCACAUGAAUGGUUUUACCUGUUUACUUUGCAAUACACAUCUUCUUUACCAAUCAGAACUCAAAUCAUGAUCAAGGAAAUAUGCAAUUAUACCAGAUUGGAUUAAUAUGUGAUACAUUAUCCAGUUUUAAUCCCUCAUCAUCUUGUGAUGAUGAAUGUAUCUAAACUCUUUAAUUUUACAUACGCGUAUUGAAAAGGCUACUCAAGGAUUCAAGUAAAUAUAAUGAAAAAACAUCAGGAAGAGGCCGCUUGAAAUAUGAUCUACCAAAUAUACAUGAACAUUAAAUUACUGAUGACCCACCAACUCUUAUCUGAUGAGAUGUUCUUCUGAACACAAUUGGAGAUGGAAAAUGUUUCUAGCUUUGUUUUCAACUUUUUUUUCAUCAUCAGCCAAUACAUGAAGUUAACCUGUCGUUUGAAUUGGCUAACAAUUGAUCAGUAAUAUUGUGAUCUUCCCCUCGGAAUCCGAUUCCAUUGGAAAACUUGUUCUUUCAAUCAGCCCAGGUAAAGUAGGAAGAAUGAAAGGGCAACGAUCGUUACAAUCAACAUCAUCACUUGGCGAGAGAAAGUCAUUAAUAUUGCUGAUACAUUGAUCUCACCGUGAAUAUUAACCCAAUCCAUGUGAACUGUUGUCAUAAUUAAGGGAAUCAAAAAAUCUAUCAACUAUAAUAACAAUUCACAUACAAGCUGUUGAUCAGUUACAAGGAACCAUAAAGCUUAAUAUACAUCUAAUCGUAUAUUAUUACAAUAUCAAUUGAUUGAUUUUAAGAUCAAGGAUAUUCUACAUUCAUCAUCACAAUCUGUUUAUCAAGUUAAUGGUCCAUCUUGCAAGAGGGUUAGCAAAAUGAAUGAUUGCUUAUUGACCAAAGGAAGACCAAGUCAAGUUUCUGGAUUUCAAGAUUUAAAGUUAUGAUUAACUUGAUUAUCUGUAUCCAACUUUAAUAAGCUUUUGGCAAGUGAUCGUUAGCAAAUCAGGUUUACUGGACUUGGUUUAUCAAGUGUUAACCGUGGUUAAUGUUAUUUAUUUAAUGAGAUAGUGACAAGGAACCUAUUCCAGUACCAAGUAUUACCACAAAAAGCAAAUGAACAGGGGUUCAAUUAAUCAAGAUAUGGCCAGAUUUACACGAUUCACCGAUAACUGUUAUGGUCAUAAAUUAAUCCAGUUAAAUAUAUCCACAAUUUGCACUUUCAACUACCAGAUAGAUUCACUUUGAUCAAUUGUAAAUGGGAAUCAACAUUGAAAUGUAUUGGAAUACAGUUGUUUAUCCAUAGACAAGGAAGGAAUCAAAUGAAUUACAACAAUUGAAAAUGAACACAAAGACUGUCAAAGGUUUGCCAAGUCCACUAACAUGAACAUGUUAAUGUUGAAAGGAUUUCCAAAAAUCCUGUUUACGUCUUCUGUUUCCGAUGCUUGGCUGGACGUUAACUCAGGCUCUUUCUCAUCUUCAUCUUUAUUAUCAUCUUCUAUUUUUUAUUCCUCUUUUCUUUAUGCUUUGCUUGUUUUCAAAAAUUCACUCUUCAUUUUCCCUUUCUUAACUCUUCAAGCUUGACUUUGCCAUUUCUGCAAACUUGGACUUUUAUCCAAAAUUCAACUCUCAGUGGAUGGUCACUCAAUGGAUACAAUUUAUCGAUAAAUGUUUUUUUGCUCUUUUCUUUCUGCUUUUCCCGUGGAACUUGUCCAAGUUUUCCAUUCACACCAGACCCAAACUUGGCCAUAGAUCUGCAGACAUUCAACAGAUAAUUUAGAAAGAUCCAGAGACAGGGGAAAAUUGGACAACUCAUCAAUGUUGUCAAGAUUCAAUCAACUUUCCAAAUGUUAUACUUCAUAAUUUAUCCUUUUUUCAGAGUUUGAAAUUUUGGUGAAACAAAGAUUACAUUAGUUUGAAGAUAUUAGUACAUUCAAUAGUUGGUACAGCUAUUAGCAACCGGCAUUUCUUACCCAAUAAUCAAGUUAUGGUUAUUAGGUUAAUCUCAUCAUUCCAAUUAAAAUGAUCUCUAACAUCAGUUUCAGUUUAAUGCUUGCAAAUCACUGAUUCAACUUUACUUUUUGAAACCCAAAUUGUUGCUAUUUUUUGUAGAAAUUGAAUAAUUUAUUUGAAACUGUUGGAAAAUUCAAUUAGAUAUAACAUUUUCUGCAUAUCCUAAGAAAUGCUGAGAUUUUAUGCACAUUUUGCUUCCUGAUUCUUGUACCUCUUUGGUAUGGACUGCGACAAGCAAUUGGCAAUUAAAAUGUUUGGAUUAUUCAUAUUUCAAUUCAAAUUUUGAUAUUCGUUAAGUUUCAUUCCUUAAAGGAAUCGAAUAGCACUCAUUAGAAAUAUUCAUUUGAUUGAGAUUUAUUCAAUAAUAUGACCGGUCAAUCAUACUAAAUGUAAGGUAAGUCAUUAAAACUUGACAA